GGAGUAUAGCUCGGUGGUAGAGCGCAUGCCUAGCAUGUAUGAAGUCCUGGGUUCAAUUCCCACCACCUCCA
rnacentral:tRNA from 1 species